rnacentral:misc_RNA from 1 species
GAACCGAGUCAUUAAUCUGCAGAACAAGACUAAGACAGCAUCAUCAGCAAGAUUGUCUGAACAGUGACUGUGAAUUACUAAUUUUAUGGAUUUUGACACACUAUUUACAGCAUUUCCCUUAUAAUAACUAUCACUAUGACUAUAUUAAUCAUAUUGAACGAGCAAAUGGGACAUAUCUAGUCUUUUGAAAAGUUUUAAUGCAUGAACUAGAUGUGUAGAAAAGCCAAUGUAGAAUAUCUCUUUUCUGAAUGAGAUGAUUGUAGUCACACAUGUACCUGUAAUAAACUUCUCCAGCA